rnacentral:rRNA from 1 species
UACAGAGGGGGCAAGCGUUGUUCGGAAUUACUGGGCGUAAAGGGCGCGUAGGCGGCCCGCUAAGUCGAACGUGAAAUCCCCGAGCUCAACUCGGGAACUGCGUCCGAUACUGGCGGGCUUGAAUCCGGGAGAGGGAUGCGGAAUUCCAGGUGUAGCGGUGAAAUGCGUAGAUAUCUGGAGGAACACCGGUGGCGAAGGCGGCGUUCUGGACUGCAACUGACACUGAGAAACGAAAGCCAGGGUAGCAAACGGG